UAAAGUACAACCACAUAUAUAUGUGUUGGAUUUGUAUUCCAUCAUAAUGCAGAAACAUCAAAACAAAAAGGAAAUGAAAUUCCAUCAAAGUCUCCUCAUCAUUCUCCUCGAUUAACUAUAAAAUUAAGGGUAAAAAAUUUAUGAAAACGUCUGUGUUCUUCGUUCUUCUCGAUUAACUUAACAUAUCACCGAAACAAAAAUACAGCAAAACGAAGAUUUGGGUAUUUUUUUCCCCUUGCCAAUCAUCCAUGACAAAGGUGGUAGCAGAUGAACAAGAUAAACGACGAAACUUCGGAGAGAAUUCCCAAGUGGUUGUAGCUGCAGAGAUCUGGGAAAGCUUUAGGUUGUAUGGUAAGGCAGCUUUUGAAUGAUCAGUUUGAAAGCUACAGAGCCACGAUGGCUAAGAAGUUGAUCGAUAGACAAUUGUCUAUCAUUAAGGUGGCUUGGAAGGCACAAAUGAUAGAAGCAGAUGGCUAUGUAUUGAAAUCGGCUAGACAGGUGAAGAUAUCAGAUUAUUUAACGAUAACGAAAUUCAACCAGAUGCGCAUACUGGAAGCUUAUAUGUGGCUUUGCUGAACUUGGUUGGUUUUUUUGCUUUCCAUACACUCUUUUUUACUAAGAAGAAGGGAUGCGAAUGGUGAUACUUGCUUUGUAUUUCCUUUUAUUCAUUUUCCUUUUGUACUUUUACGCAAGCCGGUUUUGGUUGUCCAGAUAGUCAUAUAUGGGAUUGUUCGUUGGUUAAUUUUCAAUUAUAUCUACCAUUAUUAGUUUACCCGAUUUUUCUUAAUUAGUCUUCUUUGAAAAGCAUAAUCAUGCUCAAUGUCUAAAUGUUUGUAACACUCUUUGUAUUAAA